GCGGCCGCAGCCGUGCGUCCCGCUCGAGCGCCAGCGCCCGCGCCCGCGCCCCCCGAUCCGCUUCCCCUUUCUCCCUCCUCAGUUGGCCGAGUCGUCCCGCGCGCACCGCCUCCGCGCGCCUAUGAGAAUGAGGUGGUAACGGGCCCCCGGAUGACCCCGCGUCACCACUGUGAGGCCUACAGCUCUGCCGGGGAGGAGGAGGAGGAGGAAGAGGAGGAGAAGGUAGCUACAGCAAGCUGGGUAGCAGGCAGAUCCAAAGGAUAUCAUGAAGUUUCCAGGGCCUUUGGAAAACCAGAGAUUGUCUUUCCUGUUGGAAAAGGCAAUCACUAGGGAAGCACAGAUGUGGAAAGUGAAUGUGCGGAAAAUGCCUUCAAAUCAGAAUUCCAGUACUAAAGGUAUUGGCAAGAGACAGUUUCUGUGGAUGUUCCUCAUCUGAAAUUUUGAGAAUGGAGAGAAUUAUUCUGGAUAAGUUGAAUUGGGAUCUUCACACAGCCACACCAUUGGAUUUUCUUCAUAUUUUCCAUGCCAUUGCAGUGUCAACUAGGCCUCAGUUACUUUUCAGUUUGCCCAAAUUGA
rnacentral:lncRNA from 1 species